rnacentral:rRNA from 1 species
AGAGUUUGAUCCUGGCUCAGGACGAACGCUGGCGGCGCGCUUAACACAUGCAAGUCGAGCGAUGAAAUCUUGACAGAACCCUUCGGGGGGAAGAUAAGAUGGAUUAGCGGCGGACGGGUGAGUAACACGUGAGUAACCUGCCUUAGACAUUGGGAUAGCCUCGGGAAACCGGGAUUAAUACCAAAUGAAAUCACAUAUGCACAUGCAUAAAUGAUCAAAGCUCCGGCGGUCUAAGAUGGACUCGCGUCCCAUUAGCUAGUUGGUGAGGUAACGGCCCACCAAGGCGACGAUGGGUAGCCGGCCUGAGAGGGUGAACGGCCACAUUGGAACUGAGAAACGGUCCAAACUCCUACGGGAGGCAGCAGUGGGGAAUAUUGCACAAUGGAGGGAACUCUGAUGCAGCGACGCCGCGUGAACGAAGAAGGCUUUCGAGUCGUAAAGUUCUUUUAUAUGGGAAGAUAAUGACGGUACCAUAAGAAAAAGCCCCGGCUAACUACGUGCCAGCAGCCGCGGUAAUA